rnacentral:lncRNA from 1 species
GCCCCGGCCCCUUCCACUCCGCUGCCGCCCGCGGGCCCUACCGGGACACGGCGGGAGGUUCGGCGCCGGAGGGGGCUCGGCUCCCCUGGGCGUACCUGGACACCUUCUCCUGCGCGGGCUGCGCUGAGCUGCCGCCCUGGAUCCUGCCCCCCUGGAGUUAGGGAAAAUUCCAUCAUGCCUCGUGGGCAAGGGGGAAUGGCUUUAAACUGAAAGGGGCUGGUUCCAUGUCCCUGCAAGCUCUUCACUACAAAUAGGACUCUAUGGCUUUGUUCAAGAUAACUGGGCACUAGCAGACAGAGCCACUUCGACUGCCUUUGGGGGAAAAUACUGCUGUGUGUGAGAGAAGCUUUUGCAGCGCUUCUGGAAGAAGGGAAAACCAGGAAGACUAUGGCUGUUAUCAGAAGUAAAAAUGCAAAAAUACUACAGCUCUGCUACCUAGCCUUAAAGGAAAGAAGAUUUAUUAUUGACAAAUAAACGGUGAUAUGCUCCUAACAAUACACAGUAAACUGGAAACCUCUUCAUUUACAUCGGGCAACACUCCCAGCAUCCAGAAGAAAGACACCUCUGUAAUAGCUGCACCAGGAGCUUUUUACGCUGUGCAGCCCAAAAGCCACGGAUGACCUAGAUACUGGUGCUGCAAGAUGCACCGAUGCUUCCUGAUGCCUUUAGUGUUGUCUCGCUCGACACUGCAGUGCAAGGAACUUCAAUCACCGCGGCGGAAAAUCUGCUCUGCCGGCUGCAGGAGAAUUUUCAGGCUCUGACGGAAAAGUUAACGCUGAGAAAUAUCCUCUUUGGAACGUGGGGUACCCGAGGUUGGAUUUCGGACCCCGUGGCUGGGGCCCCCUGGGCGCUGAUGGGUGCGGGCGGGGUCCUUGCUUCUAACAGGGGAUGGGCUUCUUUCUUAAACAUCAAAUUAGCGUAG